rnacentral:rRNA from 1 species
ACUCCUACGGGAGGCAGCAGUGGGGAAUAUUGCACAAUGGGGGAAACCCUGAUGCAGCCAUGCCGCGUGUGUGAAGAAGGCCUUGGGUUGUAAAGCACUUUCAGUAGGGAGGAAGGUAGUGUAGUUAACACCUGCAUUAUUUGACGUUACCUACAGAAGAAGCACCGGCUAACUCCGUGCCAGCAGCCGCGGUAAGUACGGAGGGUGCGAGCGUUAAUCGGAAUUACUGGGCGUAAAGCGCAUGCAGGCGGCUUGUUAAGUCAGAUGUGAAAGCCCGGGGUCUUAACCUCGGAAUUGCAUUUGAAACUGGCAGGCUAGAGUCUUGGUAGAGGGGUUAGAAUUUCAGGUGUAGCGGUGAAAUGCGUAGAGAUCUGAAGGAAUACCGAGUGGCGAACGGCGGCCCCUAGGACAAAGACUGACGCUCAGAUGCGAAAGCGUGGGAGCAAACAGGAUUACGAUA